AUUGAACGCUGGCGGCGUGCCUAAUACAUGCAAGUCGAACGAGUGGCGGACGGGUGAGUAAUGUCUGGGAAACUGCCUGAUGGAGGGGGAUAACUACUGGAAACGGUAGCUAAUACCGCAUACCAUCGGAUGUGCACAGAUGGGAUUAGCUAGUGGGUGGGGUAACGGCUCACCUAGGCGACGAUCCCUAGCUGGUCUGAGAGGAUGAACGGCCACCCUGGAACUGAGACACGGUCCAGACUCCUACGGGAGGCAGCAGUGGGGAAUAUUGCACAAUGGGCGCAAGCCUGAUGCAGCCAUGCCGCGUGUAUGAAGAAGGCCUUCGGGUUGUAAAGUACUUUCAGCGGGGAUGCGUUACCCGCAGAAGAAGCACCGGCUAACUCCGUGCCAGCAGCCGCGGUAAUUC
rnacentral:rRNA from 1 species